CCUACGGGAGGCAGCAGUAGGGAAUCUUCCACAAUGGACGAAAGCCUGAUGCAGCAACGCCGCGUGAGGGACGAAGGCCUUCGGGUUGUAAACCUCUUUUCUGGGGGAAGAGAUCAGGACGGUACCUCAGGAAUAAGUCUCGGCUAACUACGUGCCAGCAGCCGCGGUAAAACGUAGGAGGCGAGCGUUAUCCGGAUUUACUGGGCGUAAAGCGCGCGCAGGCGGCUUCGUUAGUCGGACGUGAAAGCUCCCGGCUUAACUGGGAGAGGCCGUUCGAUACUGCGAGGCUUGAGGUUGGGAGAGGGGUGUGGAAUUCUCGGUGUAGUGGUGGAAUGCGUAGAUAUCGGGAGGAACACCUGUGGCGAAAGCGGCACCCUGGCCCACACCUGACGCUGAGGCGCGAAAGCGUGGGGAGCGAACAGGAUUAGAUACCCUGGUAGUCCACGCCGUAAACGAUGAGUGCUAAGUGUUAGAGGGUUUCCGCCCUUUAGUGCUGCAGCAAACGCAUUAAGCACUCCGCCUGGGGAGUACGGCCGCAAGGCUGAAACUCAAAGGAAUUGACGG
rnacentral:rRNA from 1 species